rnacentral:rRNA from 1 species
CGGCGAUGUCCGAAUGGGGAAACCCAGUGCAAUUCGUUGCACUAUCGUUAACUGAAUACAUAGGUUAACGAGGCGAACCGGGGGAACUGAAACAUCUAAGUACCCCGAGGAAAAGAAAUCAACCGAGAUUCCCCCAGUAGCGGCGAGCGAACGGGGAGCAGCCCAGAGUCUGAAUCAGCUUGUGUGUUAGUGGAACGGUCUGGAAAGUCCGACGGUACAGGGUGAUAGUCCCGUACACCAAAAUGCACAGGUUGUGAACUCGAAGAGUAGGGCGGGACACGUGGUAUCCUGUCUGAAUAUGGGGGGACCAUCCUCCAAGGCUAAAUACUCCUGACUGACCGAUAGUGAACCAGUACCGUGAGGGAAAGGCGAAAAGAACCCCGGCGAGGGGAGUGAAAAAGAACCUGAAACCGUGUACGUACAAGCAGUGGGAGCACCUUCGGGUGUGACUGCGUACCUUUUGUAUAAUGGGUCAGCGACUUAUAUUCUGUAGCAAGGUUAACCGUAUAGGGGAGCCGCAGGGAAACCGAGUCUUAACUGGGCGUUAAGUUGCAGGGUAUAGACCCGAAACCCGGUGAUCUAGCCAUGGGCAGGUUGAAGGUUGGGUAACACUAACUGGAGGACCGAACCGACUAAUGUUGAAAAAUUAGCGGAUGACUUGUGGCUGGGGGUGAAAGGCCAAUCAAACCGGGAGAUAGCUGGUUCUCCCCGAAAGCUAUUUAGGUAGCGCCUCGUGAACUCAUCUUCGGGGGUAGAGCACUGUUUCGGCUAGGGGGUCAUCCCGACUUACCAACCCGAUGCAAACUACGAAUACCGAAGAAUGUUAUCACGGGAGACACACGGCGGGUGCUAACGUCCGUCGUGAAGAGGGAAACAACCCAGACCGCCAGCUAAGGUCCCAAAGUCAUGGUUAAGUGGGAAACGAUGUGGGAAGGCACAGACAGCCAGGAUGUUGGCUUAGAAGCAGCCAUCAUUUAAAGAAAGCGUAAUAGCUCACUGGUCGAGUCGGCCUGCGCGGAAGAUGUAACGGGGCUAAACCAUGCACCGAAGCUGCGGCAGCGACACUAUGUGUUGUUGGGUAGGGGAGCGUUCUGUAAGCCUGCGAAGGUGGCCUGUGAGGGCUGCUGGAGGUAUCAGAAGUGCGAAUGCUGACAUAAGUAACGAUAAAGCGGGUGAAAAGCCCGCUCGCCGGAAGACCAAGGGUUCCUGUCCAACGUUAAUCGGGGCAGGGUGAGUCGACCCCUAAGGCGAGGCCGAAAGGCGUAGUCGAUGGGAAACAGGUUAAUAUUCCUGUACUUGGUGUUACUGCGAAGGGGGGACGGAGAAGGCUAUGUUAGCCGGGCGACGGUUGUCCCGGUUUAAGCAUGUAGGCGGAGGUUCCAGGUAAAUCCGGUACCUUUUAACGCUGAGGUGUGAUGACGAGGCACUACGGUGCUGAAGUAACAAAUGCCCUGCUUCCAGGAAAAGCCUCUAAGCAUCAGGUAACAUUAAAUCGUACCCCAAACCGACACAGGUGGUCAGGUAGAGAAUACCAAGGCGCUUGAGAGAACUCGGGUGAAGGAACUAGGCAAAAUGGUGCCGUAACUUCGGGAGAAGGCACGCUGGUGUGUAGGUGAAGUCCCUGCGGAUGGAGCUGAGACCAGUCGAAGAUACCAGCUGGCUGCAACUGUUUAUUAAAAACACAGCACUGUGCAAACACGAAAGUGGACGUAUACGGUGUGACGCCUGCCCGGUGCCGGAAGGUUAAUUGAUGGGGUUAUCCGUAAGGAGAAGCUCUUGAUCGAAGCCCCGGUAAACGGCGGCCGUAACUAUAACGGUCCUAAGGUAGCGAAAUUCCUUGUCGGGUAAGUUCCGACCUGCACGAAUGGCGUAAUGAUGGCCAGGCUGUCUCCACCCGAGACUCAGUGAAAUUGAACUCGCUGUGAAGAUGCAGUGUACCCGCGGCAAGACGGAAAGACCCCGUGAACCUUUACUAUAGCUUGACACUGAACAUUGAGCCUUGAUGUGUAGGAUAGGUGGGAGGCUUUGAAGCGUGGACGCCAGUCUGCGUGGAGCCAACCUUGAAAUACCACCCUUUAAUGUUUGAUGUUCUAACGUUGGCCCCUUAUCGGGGUUGCGGACAGUGUCUGGUGGGUAGUUUGACUGGGGCGGUCUCCUCCCAAAGAGUAACGGAGGAGCACGAAGGUUAGCUAAUCCUGGUCGGACAUCAGGAGGUUAGUGCAAUGGCAUAAGCUAGCUUGACUGCGAGCGUGACGGCGCGAGCAGGUGCGAAAGCAGGUCAUAGUGAUCCGGUGGUUCUGAAUGGAAGGGCCAUCGCUCAACGGAUAAAAGGUACUCCGGGGAUAACAGGCUGAUACCGCCCAAGAGUUCAUAUCGACGGCGGUGUUUGGCACCUCGAUGUCGGCUCAUCACAUCCUGGGGCUGAAGUAGGUCCCAAGGGUAUGGCUGUUCGCCAUUUAAAGUGGUACGCGAGCUGGGUUUAGAACGUCGUGAGACAGUUCGGUCCCUAUCUGCCGUGGGCGCUGGAGAAUUGAGGGGGGCUGCUCCUAGUACGAGAGGACCGGAGUGGACGCAUCACUGGUGUUCGGGUUGUCAUGCCAAUGGCACUGCCCGGUAGCUAAAUGCGGAAGAGAUAAGUGCUGAAAGCAUCUAAGCACGAAACUUGCCCCGAGAUGAGUUCUCCCUGAGACUUUAAGUCUCCUGAAGGAACGUUGAAGACGACGACGUUGAUAGGCCGGGUGUGUAAGCGCAGCGAUGCGUUGAGCUAACCGGUACUAAUGAACCGUGAGGCUUAACCUU